rnacentral:lncRNA from 1 species
AGCUCUUUCAUCCAAGUUUUAACCUGCUUCGACUCUGCUUUGCCGUUGAAAUCUUAAGGGAUCAGGAGCUUUCAAAGCAAUGUGUUGUAAAGGUCGUCGGUGAGUUCAAUUUAUCACAAAACGAAAAAGCAAUGUUAAACGGUGAUUUGGAUAUAAAAUCCAAAAGCACUUGAUUGAAAAACUCUUAUCCUAACAUGCAUUGGAGCAUCUUGAAGUUCCACCUAGAAAAUGCAUCGAACUCCCCUCCUUAAGAUUGCAUCCAGCGGUCCUACGGCAAAGCUGAAAGUAGCAAAGUUUUAUUUUCCUCUUCGCACAUCCAUUCCGCCAUGGCACACGGUCAAACAUGAAGAACUCAUCCACAGUGAUGAGGACAUAAAAUAACACCACCCACACUCCUCUCGCAUCAAGUCCCGAGCACGUCUCCAAAGCCAACAACUUUAAUGGUCUCUCCUUCCCAGCAUCUCCCACUCCCUUCCAUCAGCCACCAUUCCCUCCAUGUGGUCCUCCUUUUUGGCUGGGCGGGGCCGAAGCUCUUAGCUCUGUUGCCUCGGCCGUGCCACUCACAGUUGCGAAGGGGGAGAUAGCGCAAGGAGUUCUGAGAGAGGGUGGCAACUGCCUGUACUCUCAUUUCUUCACCGAGUCGUGCUCCCUGCCGCCGCUGCGGGCGAAGUGAAGACAAAGUCUACACGGCAGCCAACGAAACCUUCAAGAGAGACUUUUGGAAGUGACAGGAGGCGCCCAAACCUCCAUCCCGCCCAGCGUUGGAGUAAGCCACACGUGUCGCCUUCUGCUUUUCACCCACAUGGGAUAAGCAGAGGUCCUCUGAGAUUCCAUGCCAGCGAUACCUUGGUGACUGGAAAUGAUUAUCCAGACGUGGCGGCUGAUGUUCCAGAGAGAUACCGUCCUCCUCCGCAAGGCUCUUCACCGGUGUACGAAGGCCUUCCUAUAGAAUACAUUGACGCUGAUUCAAAGUCGAGUAAGGAGCAGCUGCUGGAAGCUUGGAAAAGGUUUCUUCCAGGACAGAGAAUGGCAAUGGCUACGUCGGACGUCUCUGCCUUGUCCGGCAGUGUUGAGGUAUUGCUAAACAAAGUUUACUUGUUUACUUGAGGUACGACACAUAGUAGUGCUGCCGAAUAUAUCAUUUGCACACUUACAUGCACAAGGCAGAUUUCUUCACAUACAUGGGUGGUUCAAAGUUGACG